CCGUCAUGUAAUACCACAGGAUGUAGCUACUCCUGAAAAGUCCUCUCUCUCCAGACCAAGAAUAACACAGGCUAAUGUUUUGUACUCAGAUUGUAGAGACUACUGGAUGAACUGACGGGAUGGGGGAAAUCAUCAUAUUAUCGUAUCCAAGAUGGCUGUGUACUCUAACAUCGAGGAUGCUGGGUAUACAGCCUUUACCCUCUGACCCUGCCUCAACCUCCAAAGGCAUCUCCUGUAGCUGUUGCCGUGUUGGGCGGGUGCUCUUUCUGCUUCUGUUGCCACCGAAGCAUCGUCUCCCUCGCUUCAUGUUUCUCUCUAAACAGACCGUGAAACAUCUUCCGUGACCGAGCAUGAUCUAUAUAGACAUUGAAGACGUGAAUUGUGACGUGGCCUAUGAAAUGGCAUUAGAAAUAUGACACAUUAAAUGUAAAUAAUUGUUUUCAUCCCCCCCAUCUUCCUUUCAUCACAGAACCUCACUGUUUUGUCAUUUGUUGCAGACAAAAUUAUACACAUGUAAUUGAACAAUUUGAUAGUGUGCUAAUUGGAAUUCAUUCUCAGUUGCAGGGGUCAUGGGCUAAAAAGUGAUGAUGAUUGUGAUGAUGAUAUGGAGACACUGUCCCAAUCAAUCACAUUUUGGAAUAUAGUUUAAAAUGAUAUUGAAGUGAUAUGACUAACUUUAAUGUGCAAAGAUGCCCAACCAUGUUGUAUGUAUUGUAUGUUUUCUUUGACAGACAACCACCAUUUUCCUCACCAUUCCGUGUUUAUCCUCUUUUAAUCUGACAGUUUUCAGGUUAUAAAUAAAAGACAAUGCUCUUUUGAGGCAACAAGA